UGGCAAGCUUGAGUCUCGUAGAGGGGGGUAGAAUUCCAGGUGUAGCGGUGAAAUGCGUAGAGAUCUGGAGGAAUACCGGUGGCGAAGGCGGCCCCCUGGACGAAGACUGACGCUCAGGUGCGAAAGCGUGGGGAGCAAACAGGAUUAGAUACCCUGGUAGUCCACGCCGUAAACGAUGUCGACUUGGAGGUUGUGCCCUUGAGGCGUGGCUUCCGGAGCUAACGCGUUAAGUCGACCGCCUGGGGAGUACGGCCGCAAGGUUAAAACUCAAAUGAAUUGACGGGGGCCCGCACAAGCGGUGGAGCAUGUGGUUUAAUUCGAUGCAACGCGAAGAACC
rnacentral:rRNA from 1 species